UAACGGCUAAAUCCUUUUUCAGCGAGCAAUACAUGGCCUGGCCGCGAAACAUCGCAAUCAUAGGUAGUAGCGGGAAAAACCCUAGGGGACGAGAAUGGCUGUCGCGACUCUGAAGAAGGGGAUGGUAGUCUACAUGAUUGUAUAUAGGGCAGUGACCUACGGUCUAUCACCGCUGCUGCUCCUUCACCUACAAUAGCGUAAGCUCCGCGGCCAACACCCCACCCGCUGGCCUGAGCCCCUCGCUCGUCCGUUCUCUCCUCGCCGGUCCCUUCAUAUGGUUCCAUGCUGUCUCUCUAGGCAAGGGUCUGGCUGCGAUUUCUGUGAUCAGAAAUGCCUUCAAUGGGGGCCUGAUUUGAAUAUAUUGAUGACAACGACCACGGUUUCUGCAUUAAUUGAGACCAGUUUGCCCCACUGGACACCCCCUUUGCCAUGGAUACUUUCCCUUCAUAUUGGAAUCCAAGUGCAAUCAUAUUAAUGGAGAGUGAACGGUGGCCAAAUCUUAUUAUUAGCACUUCAAGAAUGGCGAAUUUGUGGGGCACGAGAAAUUUCUUUCACUCAACAAUGGGGAAAUCUUGACCGAACGAGUCCUCAUAUCAGCCAUACCAGGAAUUUGUGGGGCACGAGAAAUUUCUUUCACUCAACAAUGGGGAAAUCUUGACCGAACAAGUCCUCAUAUCAGCCAUACCAGUCCAUGAGAGCUUCAGACUGAUUCAAUUUCAGUUGGCUUUUACUUCAGAAUGGGAAGCUGAGGGGCCCAAAUAUCACUUAAUUUGGAAAAGUAUGGAUGUUUCAGGAGGUAAUCAGAUUCAACCUAUUAUAUGCAGUAUUGCGGUAUUGAGACUAUUUUGGAUCUACCUUUUACUUUUUAUGUCUCAUGCCUAUCCAUGAGAUUAUGGUAUUGUCUUACGACUCUAACCUUUUAAGUAGAUCCUGACAGAUCUUCCUUACGUCUUGGCUUUGGGUUUCCCUGAUUGCUCUUUAUCCGAUUUUUCUUGGUUCUCUUACCAAACCAUUAUGGUAAAUCAUGGAUAAUGCUAGAAUUUUUCAGCUGGUUGUGCUGUUUGUAUAUAGUUUGCCAGUUAUUUGUACAUUUUACUGUUAGUGGCAUUCAAUACCUUGGAGCUUUAAUGACGUGAUUUCUAUUUGCCCAAGUUCAACAUCUGCACAACUUGUUUAUUUCCAACCAUCACUCUGUACGGUUCAUGUGAACGUGGUGCAGUGUUGUGUGAUAAUUUGUGUGUUAAAGAUUAAAUAUUCCACCUUUGUGAAACUGAGGGAACUGUGAUUGUAUGUUGAUUAUUAGAAAGCAAGCACAGAUAUUGUUCUCCCAUCCUCCAUAACCAGUGCAGCUAUUUGCCUAGCAUGUUUGUCGUCUUACAAGCACGAAAAGUGUUGAGCUUGUGGGCACGCUCUAUUACGUAUCUUUCCAUAUUGCAAGAGGAUUGGGUCAUUUACAUACCAACACCAGGUGAAUGAGGAUAACAUCUUCGAAGAAGAACUCAUCACAAGGCAAAGCCAGGGGACCAUCCGUAUUGUGGCCAUACUCUUCUUAUGCUUGGUCUAUCAUAUGUUGAAAAAUUGGGUGGUUUAAGUAAUCCGCUCUUAUCACAAACCUUUUCCCAGCAUCCCCUACAAUAACAGCUAAGUGACCAGGACGGACAUCAGGAGGCUGUUUCUUCUCACCUCCAUAUAGCUUGUGCCAUAUGUUGGCUAUUUUCAGCUUCAAACUCUUUCCUAAGUUGCAUGGGGAAUGCUCUAUCCGGUAACCAUGAAGUGAGAUUCCAGGUACCAAUGUCAAGGGUUUGGGUAUUGAAGACUUGGAGUGGAUUUGGGUUGGAAUUUAUAAUCGAGGUAAUCCUCUCCUGUUACUUCCCUUCGAGACUUGUGCAUUUAAUAUCCCUAUGACCUACUAAUGCUUUGGAAUUUAAUUUAAUGUUUACUUACAAUUAAAAAUGAGCAUCACCUGUUGUUACAAGUUAUGUUGAUUCUUUCAAAAUGUAACCAGAUGAAUAUUGUGCUGCUAAUUUAGUCGGGUCUUAAGCGGACAGGUUGUCUGACUGGCAGAGUUUUAUGUUCUUGCAUAAGGUAGUUUCUAGUACUUGGCUGGUUACUCUUGGUGGUUCACAGGUGAAGAAAUAAUGCUGUCAUAUUAUUUUUAUUGGGAAUGCAUUGUCUUUUCUUCAUGUGGCGUAACAUGCUAUUGCUCUGCCUUCUAGGAUUUAAACAUGGUUAUCCAUUGCUGAGUUGAGUCUGUUAGGUAUUAUUUAGUUUAUACUUUAUACCAUAAACUGAUGUUCAGAUAAAAACUGGAACUGAUGUUGAGUCUGUUAGGUAGGCAUAGUGAAUCCAUUGGUGGAUUAAUAUACCCCUCAGCAGCAACACUGGAAUUAAGAUAAAAGAACACAGUAGACUCAUAUUUCGGAUUACCAACUUGAUGAUGGAAUUUGUUUGCUAAGGUGGGUAAAUGAUGUUAUGCACAUGUUCACAUGUUUUGUCUUCAUUUUUUAUGCUUAGCAAUACGAACAUUGAAAGUGAAGUUGCCUAAACUAUGCAUGCUAGAAAUUAAGCCCCCUAUAGCAAUUGCCUGUGUUGAUGCUUUUUGCAGGAGAUUCUAUUUAUUAAAUGGAAGGGAUUCAAUUUACAUUGGACAUUUAGCGAAGGAUGUUGUAUCAUUAAAGCAUGAAGACAUUGGCGUGUGAGUUUUUACCUGGGGAGUGAUGAACAAGGAGUAGCACUCUGGCUAAUCAAGGACACAGGUAGGCAACUUUCUUUAGAGAGAAUUAAAACUUGAAAUUACAGGAUUAGACACUAAUGAAUGCAUGUCCCUCUAAAUGUGACGUGUUGAACUUUGAAACCCUGUGGUGGUUUAUUAAGACCUUAUGGGUACAAAAGCUUUCUUAGAC